rnacentral:rRNA from 1 species
UACGUAGGUGGCAAGCGUUGUCCGGAUUUACUGGGCGUAAAGCGCGCGCAGGCGGACUGAUCAGUCUGGGGUGAAAUCUCCCGGCUCAACUGGGAGCGGUCCCUGGAUACUGUCAGUCUUGAGAGACCUAGAGGAGAGCGGAAUUCCCGGUGUAGUGGUGGAAUGCGUAGAUAUCGGGAAGAACACCAGUGGCGAAAGCGGCGCGCUGGACCUCUUCUGACGCUGAGGCGCGAAAGCCAGGGGAGCGAACGGG